AACGAACGCUGGCGGCAUGCCUAACACAUGCAAGUCGAACGAGGUCUUCGGGUCUAGUGGCGCACGGGUGCGUAACGCGUGGGAAUCUGCCCUCAGGUUCGGAAUAACCAUUGGAAACGAUGGCUAAUACCGGAUGAUGACGUUAAGUCCAAAGAUUUAUCGCCUGAGGAUGAGCCCGCGUAGGAUUAGCUAGUUGGUGUGGUAAAGGCGCACCAAGGCGACGAUCCUUAGCUGGUCUGAGAGGAUGAUCAGCCACACUGGGACUGAGACACGGCCCAGACUCCUACGGGAGGCAGCAGUGGGGAAUAUUGGACAAUGGGCGAAAGCCUGAUCCAGCAAUGCCGCGUGAGUGAUGAAGGCCUUAGGGUUGUAAAGCUCUUUUACCCGGGAUGAUAAUGACAGUACCGGGAGAAUAAGCUCCGGCUAACUCCGUG
rnacentral:rRNA from 1 species